rnacentral:sRNA from 1 species
CCCAAAAGGAGGUGGCUCUCAGGUGUGAGUGGAGCCUCCCUGAGGGCCGGUUCGAGGGCAGCAGUGAAGUCGGCUCUCUGCCCCCAGGUGGUGGUGCCCACCCGCGUGGGGCAGGGCUAUGUAUACGAGGCCGCCCAGCCGGAGCAGGACGAGUACGACAUCCCGCGACACCUGCUGGCCCCAGGGCCACAGGACAUCUAUGAUGUGCCCCCGGUUCGGGGGCUGCUUCCCAGCCAGUAUGGCCAGGAGGUGUAUGACACACCCCCCAUGGCUGUCAAGGGUCCCAAUGGCCGAGACCCAUUGCUGGAGGUGUAUGACGUGCCCCCCAGCGUGGAGAAGGGCCUGCCACCAUCCAACCACCACGCGGUGAGCAAAUGCCAGGGCCAGGCUGAGGCCAUGGGGUGUCUGGGUGUGUGUACUGGGGUGCUGACCAGUGUCUGCAGGGCUGGGAGUGGCGAGCAGGAAGAGACUGGCUCCAGACCCUGCUUCUACAUGGUUGACAGAUGAGGAAAUCAAGCUGUCUUCUCAGGUUCUU